rnacentral:rRNA from 1 species
GAUGAACGCUGGCGGCGUGCUUAACACAUGCCAGUCGAACGGGAAACCUUUUAAUGAAGCUUCGGCAGAUUUAGCUGGUUUCUAGUGGCGGACGGGUGAGUAACGCGUGGGUAACCUGCCUUAUACAGGGGGAUAACAGUCAGAAAUGACUGCUAAUACCGCAUAAGCGCACAGGACCGCAUGGUCCGGUGUGAAAAACUCCGGUGGUAUAAGAUGGACCCGCGUUGGAUUAGCUUAUUGGUGGGGUAACGGCUCACCAAGGCGACGAUCCAUAGCCGGCCUGAGAGGGUGAACGGCCACAUUGGGACUGAGACACGGCCCAGACUCCUACGGGAGGCAGCAGUGGGGAAUAUUGCACAAUGGGGGAAACCCUGAUGCAGCGACGCCGCGUGAAGGAAGAAGUAUCUCGGUAUGUAAACUUCUAUCAGCAGGGAAGAUAGUGACGGUACCUGACUAAGAAGCCCCGGCUAACUACGUG